GAUUAGCUAGUUGGUAAGGUAAUGGCUUACCAAGGCAACGAUCCGUAACCGGCCUGAGAGGGCGGUCGGUCACACUGACACUGACAUACGGGUCAGACUCCUACGGGAGGCAGCAGUCGGGAAUUUUGGGCAAUGGGCGAAAGCCCGACCCAGCAACGCCGCGUGAAGGAUGAAAUCCCUCGGGCUGUAAACUUCGCAAGAAUGAGAAGAAUAAGUAGGGGACAAUACCCCCUAUGAUGACGGUAUCAUUUGUAAGCUCCGGCUAACUCCGUGCCAGCAGCCGCGGUAAUACGGGGGGAGCAAGCGUUGUUCGGAUUUACUGGGCGUAAAGGGCGCGUAGGCGGCCAGCACAAGUCAGUUGUGAAAUCUCCGAGCUUAACUCGGAAAGGUCAACUGAUACUGUGCGGCUAGAGUGCAGAAGGGGCAACUGGAAUUCUUGGUGUAGCGGUGAAAUGCGUAGAUAUCAAGAGGAACACCUGCGGCGAAGGCGGGUUGCUGGGCUGACACUGACGCUGAGGCGCGAAAGCCAGGGGAGCGAACGGGAUUAGAUACCCCGGUAGUCCUGGCCUUAAACGAUGAAUGCUUGGUGUCUGGGGUUAUAAAGUCCCCGGGUGCCGUCGCUAACGCUUUAAGCAUUCCGCCUGGGGAGUACGGUCGCAAGACUGAAACUCAAAGGAAUUGACGG
rnacentral:rRNA from 1 species